rnacentral:RNase_P_RNA from 1 species
GAGAGAGGAAGGGCGGCUGCCGGCAGCAAUGCUGAGGAAAGUCCCCUCACCAUCUGGACCGCGGAUGCACGCAAGUGCGUAGGGUGAGAAUCCUGGCUCUGGAACAGAAACGAUACUGCAGCGCAGAAAUGCGAUGAUUCCGAAAGGAUGAGGUCAUGCGUUUGCGGAUGGAACGGCGAAUCCCCGCGGGUGCAAGCCGAAAUAGGACAUAAUGGGCAGUCCAGACCUGUCCGAGUCCGGCGCAAAGCUGAAUGCCGCAUAUGCGCAACAGGGGUUUUACUCCUCGUGCUAAACAUAAAGGGGCUUACUCUCCUCACUC